rnacentral:rRNA from 1 species
UCUUAGAUGUAAAUUAGUUAAAUUACCAGGGUACUACGAAUAAAGUAUAUUUGUUUAAAACUCAAAAAACUUGGCGGUAUCUUAGACUACUUAGGGGAACCUGCCUCGUAAUCGAUAGUCCACGUAUUACUUAACCUUAUUUUGUGAAGUUUGUAUACCGUCAUCGUCAGGUAACUUUUAAGAAUUUAAUAGUUAGCAAGUUAAUAAAAAUAUUAAAACGUUAGAUCAAGGUGCAGCUUAUAAUAUGGUGAGGGUGGGUUACAAUUAUAUAUUUAUAAUAUGGAUAAAAAUAUGAAAAAUUUUUUGAAGGUGGACUUAAAAGUAAAAAUGAUAAUAGCAUAAUAUUUUGAAUAAUUAGCUCUGAGGUGUGC